ACUGUUAUAGUUUAAAUAGAACAUUAGUUUGUGGAGCUAAAAGAGAAUACUUCUAAUAGUA
rnacentral:tRNA from 1 species